rnacentral:rRNA from 1 species
UACGUAGGGUGCAAGCGUUAAUCGGAAUUACUGGGCGUAAAGCGUGCGCAGGCGGUUGUGCAAGACCGAUGUGAAAUCCCCGGGCUCAACCUGGGAAUGGCAUUGGUGACUGCACGGCUAGAGUGUGUCAGAGGGGGUAGAAUUCCACGUGUGAGCAGUGAAAUGCGUAGAGAUGUGGAGGAAUACCGAUGGCGAAGGCAGCCCCCUGGGAUAACACUGACGCUCAUGCACGAAAGCGUGGGGAGCAAACAGG